rnacentral:rRNA from 1 species
UACGUAGGGACCAAGCGUUGUUCGGAUUUACUGGGCGUAAAGGGCGCGUAGGCGGCAAUUCAAGUCAUCUGUGAAAUCUCUGGGCUUAACCCAGAACGGCCAGGUGAUACUGCUUUGCUAGAGUGCGGAAGGGGCAAUCGGAAUUCUUGGUGUAGCGGUGAAAUGCGUAGAUAUCAGGAGGAACACCUGAGGUGAAGACGGGUUGCUGGGCCGACACUGACGCUGACAGCGCGAAAGCCAGGGGAGCAAACGGG